rnacentral:rRNA from 1 species
GACGAACGCUGGCGGCGUGCUUAACACAUGCAAGUCGAACGAAGAGCGACGGAAGCUUGCUUCCAUCAAUCUUAGUGGCGAACGGGUGAGUAACGCGUAAUCAACCUGCCCUUCAGAGGGGGACAACAGUUGGAAACGACUGCUAAUACCGCAUACGAUCUGACCUCGGCAUCGAGGAUAGAUGAAAGGUGGCCUCUAUUUAUAAGCUAUCACUGAAGGAGGGGAUUGCGUCUGAUUAGCUAGUUGGAGGGGUAACGGCCCACCAAGGCGAUGAUCAGUAGCCGGUCUGAGAGGAUGAACGGCCACAUUGGGACUGAGACACGGCCCAGACUCCUACGGGAGGCAGCAGUGGGGAAUCUUCCGCAAUGGACGAAAGUCUGACGGAGCAACGCCGCGUGAGUGAUGACGGCCUUCGGAUUGUAAAGCUCUGUUAAUCGGGACGAAAGGCCUUCUUGCGAAUAGUUAGGAG